GACCUGAUAGUACAGCUGGUUGGUGAAUCUUUUAGUAUUACUAUCGUGCACUAUAACCAGAAAACCCUGGUUCGAAUCCGGGUCAGGUCA